rnacentral:rRNA from 1 species
GAUGAACGCUGGCGGCGUGCCUAAUACAUGCAAGUCGAGCGAACGGACGAGAAGCUUGCUUCUCUGAUGUUAGCGGCGGACGGGUGAGUAACACGUGGAUAACCUACCUAUAGGACUGGGAUAACUUCGGGAAACCGGAGCUAAUACCGGAUAAUAUUUUGAACCGCAUGGUUCAAAAGUGAAAGACGGUCUUGCUGUCACUUAUAGAUGGAUCCGCGCUGCAUUAGCUAGUUGGUAAGGUAACGGCUUACCAAGGCAACGAUGCAUAGCCGACCUGAGAGGGUGAUCGGCCACACUGGAACUGAGACACGGUCCAGACUCCUACGGGAGGCAGCAGUAGGGAAUCUUCCGCAAUGGGCGAAAGCCUGACGGAGCAACGCCGCGUGAGUGAUGAAGGUCUUCGGAUCGUAAAACUCUGUUAUUAGGGAAGAACAAAUGUGUAAGUAACUAUGCACGUCUUGACGGUACCUAAUCAGAAAGCCACGGCUAACUACGUGCCAGCAGCCGCGGUAAUACGUAGGUGGCAAGCGUUAUCCGGAAUUAUUGGGCGUAAAGCGCGCGUAGGCGGUUUUUUAAGUCUGAUGUGAAAGCCCACGGCUCAACCGUGGAGGGUCAUUGGAAACUGGAAAACUUGAGUGCAGAAGAGGAAAGUGGAAUUCCAUGUGUAGCGGUGAAAUGCGCAGAGAUAUGGAGGAACACCAGUGGCGAAGGCGACUUUCUGGUCUGUAACUGACGCUGAUGUGCGAAAGCGUGGGGAUCAAACAGGAUUAGAUACCCUGGUAGUCCACGCCGUAAACGAUGAGUGCUAAGUGUUAGGGGGGUUCCGCCCCUUAGUGCUGCAGCUAACGCAUUAAGCACUCCGCCUGGGGAGUACGACCGCAAGGUUGAAACUCAAAGGAAUUGACGGGGACCCGCACAAGCGGUGGAGCAUGUGGUUUAAUUCGAAGCAACGCGAAGAACCUUACCAAAUCUUGACACCCUCUGACUCCUCUAGAGAUAGAGUUUUCCCCUUCGGGGGACAGAGUGACAGGUGGUGCAUGGUUGUCGUCAGCUCGUGUCGUGAGAUGUUGGGUUAAGUCCCGCAACGAGCGCAACCCUUAAGCUUAGUUGCCAUCAUUAAGUUGGGCACUCUAAGUUGACUGCCGGUGACAAACCGGAGGAAGGUGGGGAUGACGUCAAAUCAUCAUGCCCCUUAUGAUUUGGGCUACACACGUGCUACAAUGGACAAUACAAAGGGUAGCGAAACCGCGAGGUCAAGCAAAUCCCAUAAAGUUGUUCUCAGUUCGGAUUGUAGUCUGCAACUCGACUACAUGAAGCUGGAAUCGCUAGUAAUCGUAGAUCAGCAUGCUACGGUGAAUACGUUCCCGGGUCU